AAUAAUAAAUAAACAAAAUAAAAGAACCGAGUGAAAACGUACCCACUCUAUGUUGGGGUUUAUCGGCAGGCAACAAAGGAAGCCAAAACUUAGACUAACGAGGAAGGGGUUUGAGACGACGGCAAGGCAGUCAGGAUGGGGCGUAUGCACAGCGGAGGUAAGGGUAUUUCGGCUUCCGCUCUACCGUACAAGAGGACCCCUCCGAGCUGGUUGAAGAUAUCUACUCAGGAUGUUGAGGAGAACAUCUGCAAGUUUGCCAAGAAGGGCCUGACGCCCUCUCAAAUUGGUGUUAUUCUCCGUGAUUCUCAUGGGAUUGCUCAGGUGAAGAGUGUUACGGGAAGCAAGAUAUUGCGUAUUCUGAAGGCUCAUGGUCUUGCUCCAGAAAUUCCUGAGGAUUUGUACCACCUCAUCAAGAAAGCUGUCUCAAUCAGGAAGCAUUUGGAGAGGAACAGGAAGGACAAGGAUUCUAAGUUUAGACUGAUCCUGGUUGAGAGCAGAAUCCAUCGCCUUGCUCGUUACUACAAGAAGACAAAGAAGCUUCCCCCAGUGUGGAAAUAUGAAUCUACCACCGCCAGCACUCUUGUGGCUUAAGUCCGAUAUGAUUGGCACCAAUUUCGGGUGUACACAUUAAAAGCAGGACCAGUUUUUAGUUUGUUAUCUUCUUUGUUUGCUUCAAUUUGGGAACUAAAUGAACAUCACAUCAGAUUCGGGGCGUGUGGUCCAACACAAGACAAAGAGAUCGGGUUUGGUGGUCGGGUGGAUUUUUUAUGGGAAUGAGACAGAGAUCGGAAGAGAAAUGUGGUGGUGGCUGAUGAUGGUGAUGAGUUGAGGACGCAGUGUGGUUCCCGUCGGUUAUGAUGGAUGUUGGGUUCUGUUUUUAAAUUAUUUAUUUUUGGAUUAAUGAUAGGGUUUAAAUGUGGUGAGAAUGCCAACGUAAUUACGGUUGGUAUGACGAAUCGAAGCAGGAGCUUUGUGAUGUUUUGGUUAUGGUUUCAGUAGGUGCAGACAGCCUGCCCAAAAUGAAAUUUCGUAAGGGUUCCAUUCCACUUACGAAUUGCAUUA